rnacentral:lncRNA from 1 species
AUUGUGUUGAUGUUGUUGAGUUUUUGAGAGAAACAAAGAGAUGAAUACACAGGUGUGAUGAUUCUUGAAACAAAGAGAAACAAAGGGAUGUUGGAAUAAUAACAGUGUUGUAAUGUAAUUCUUGAAGUUUUGAUGGCCAGAGAUAAUUUUAGGGAAGAAAAAUGCUUAACGGCACGACAAAGUUGUCGUCAAAAACACACGACACUUUUUGCCAACUCAUAUUAAUGCACAGGCACU